UGCUUUUGUGUUAUUUUUGCGUUGUUAUUAUUAAUGUGACAAGUAUCCUAUUUCUGCUAAGUGUCAAUUACAGGACUGGCUGAAUACUUUUUAUUACAUCUAUGGGAGGCUUACUAGAGAAAGUAAUAUACGAACUGAUUCUUGAAUAGUGAUCCUGCUAGUAGGAAGAAGGGAAGGACAUUUAGACGGAGGGGAUGGCAUGUACAAAACGUCCCUGGAGUAAAGAAACUGCCACUUACCUCAGUGACAAGAAGUGUCUAGAUCCCUCCUGGCAGGUGAGGGCACAUGUGGCAAGAGAAUAGUCCACCCUACUCUAGCCCAGACUUAUGGUCCUUGUCCAGGAUAGACCAGACCAGGAUAACAUGAGACAGGGUAGGCAGAGGGAGGUUUCAAAACACAGCAAAAGAACGCAUCCAAAGUAAGCAGAAAGUAAUGCCAGUGGUCAGGUUUGAAGAGCCAGCUGAAUCUGUGGGUGGGAUAGUGAGGAAUUCAGUGAAAUGUCAAUAGGGAUUGGAAGGAUGUCAAAGGCAGAUCUGGAAGUAAGUUGGAAGGGAGGGUAUUUCAUUUGGAUUACGAUUGCCACCACUGAAAAUAGAUGAGACAAGAUGGAAAAGCACCACCUAGGAAGCACUGCAAAAUUCAGGUUGGUGGAACUCCAGCAAAAUUCCAGUCCUCCCUUCAUAACAAAGUAUCCAUCUGUGGCCCAAAAGAGCAGAUUCACUGAUUUGGAUGCAAAGAAACUUUUUUAGUACAACAUUGAAGAUACCAGUCUGGACAGAAUUUAAACUGGAGCCUGUAUAUCACAAUUUGAAGACUUCACUAAUGGAUGGCUCGUGAGAAAAGGCAACAGUGUGUGUAUGGAGACGUGGGGGUGUAGAGUUUUAUAGAAAUUGUAUUC